rnacentral:ncRNA from 1 species
AUGAAGGCAAUGGGAGAGUUUACCCGAUGCGGUAACGCCGAAGGAGUAAGCCUCACGCGGGUGAAUCUCUCAGGCAAAAGGACCGUUGCCGGACG